rnacentral:rRNA from 1 species
AUGGCUGUUACACCGACGACCAAAGAACUCGAGCUUCUAGUAUGGUCGAAAGAGGCGAGCUUUGAUUUCCCAUGCACACUACUAUCUGACAGGUCUGGGGGCUCGAUUCAGAAGCUUCUCCUUUUCAGAUGUGCCUUACGUCCCACAUUUCAACUUGGUUUGAGAAGCUUGAAAACACUGCAUCUGCACGAUGUGCGUGUUACGGGGGAGGAGUUAGGGUGCCUUCUGUCCAGUUCCACUGCUUUGGAGCAGCUGAAGCUCGUAUAUUGCGAUGAUAUAGUUCGGCUGGAGAUACCUUGCCUGCUGCAGCGGCUCAGCUUCCUGGAGGUGGCUGGAUGCAUGAGUCUUCAAGUGAUAGAGAACAGAGCUCCAAAUCUCUCCAGAUUUUACCUUGAAGCGGGUGAACGGGUGCAAGUCUCAUUUGGAGAGUCGAAAGUGAAGAAAGUGCAGUUGGUGCAGAGUUGUGCCAUCAGUUAUGCUAUUGACAACCUUCCUUCCCGUGCGCCGAAUCUUGAGACUCUUACCAUAUAUUCUACUUGUGAGGUAUGCUCUUACUCUUAA